UACAGAGGUCCCAAGCGUUGUUCGGAAUUACUGGGCGUAAAGGGUGCGUAGGAGGCAUCGUAAGUCAAACGUGAAAUCUCUCCGCUUAACGGAGAAACUGCGUUCGAUACUACUUUGCUAGAGGAUCGGAGAGGAGAAUGGAAUUCCUGGUGUAGCGGUGAAAUGCGUAGAUAUCAGGAGGAACACCGAUGGCGAAAGCAAUUCUCUGGAAGAUUUCUGACUCUGAAGCACGAAGGCUAGGGGAGCAAACAGG
rnacentral:rRNA from 1 species